GACGAACGCUGGCGGCGUGCCUAAUACAUGCAAGUCGAACGCAGUGGGGACGGGUGAGUAACACGUGGGUAACCUCCCAUCAGAGGGGAUAACACUUGGAAACAGGUGCUAAACCGAUACUGAUGGAUGGACCCGGGGUGCAUUGGCCAGUUGGGGGGGUAACGGCUAACCAAGGCAACGAUUCAUAGCCGACCUGAGAGGGUGAUCCGCCACACUGUGACUGAGACACGGCCCAGACUCCUACGGGAGGCAGCAGUAGGGAAUCUUCGGCAAUGGACGAAAGUCUGACCGAGCAACGCCGCGUGAGUGAAGAAGGUUUUCGGAUUGUAAAACUCUGUUGUUAGAGAAGCGGUAUCUAACCAGAAAGCAACGGCUAACUACGUGCCAGCAGCCGCGGUAAUUC
rnacentral:rRNA from 1 species